rnacentral:rRNA from 1 species
GACAGAGGGUGCAAACGUUGUUCGGAAUUACUGGGCGUAAAGCGCGUGUAGGCGGUGCGGUAAGUCGGGUGUGAAAGCCCUGGGCUCAACCCAGGAAGUGCAUUCGAUACUACCGUACUAGAGUCCCGGAGAGGUUGGCGGAACUCUCGGUGUAGAGGUGAAAUUCGUAGAUAUCGAGAAGAACACCGGUGGCGAAGGCGGCCAACUGGACGGUGACUGACGCUGAGACGCGAAAGCGUGGGGAGCAAACAGG